AGUCGUAACAAGGUUUCCGUAGGUGAACCUGCGGAAGGAUCAUUAGUGAAUAUAGGACGUCCAACUUAACUUGGAGUCCGAACUCUCACUUUCUAACCCUGUGCACUUGUUUGGGAUAGUAACUCUCGCAAGAGAGCGAACUCCUAUUCACUUAUAAACACAAAGUCUAUGAAUGUAUUAAAUUUUAUAACAAAAUAAAACUUUCAACAACGGAUCUCUUGGCUCUCGCAUCGAUGAAGAACGCAGCGAAAUGCGAUAAGUAAUGUGAAUUGCAGAAUUCAGUGAAUCAUCGAAUCUUUGAACGCACCUUGCGCUCCAUGGUAUUCCGUGGAGCAUGCCUGUUUGAGUGUCAUGAAUACUUCAACCCUCCUCUUUCUUAAUGAUUGAAGAGGUGUUUGGUUUCUGAGCGCUGCUGGCCUUUACGGUCUAGCUCGUUCGUAAUGCAUUAGCAUCCGCAAUCGAACUUCGGAUUGACUUGGCGUAAUAGACUAUUCGCUGAGGAAUUCUAGUCUUCGGAUUAGAGCCGGGUUGGGUUAAAGGAAGCUUCUAAUCAGAAUGUCUACAUUUUAAGAUUAGAUCUCAAAUCAGGUAGGACUACCCGCUGAACUUAAGCAUAUCAUAAAAGUCG
rnacentral:rRNA from 1 species